rnacentral:rRNA from 1 species
AACGAACGCUGGCGGCAUGCCUAACACAUGCAAGUCGAACGAGACCUUCGGGUCUAGUGGCGCACGGGUGGGUAACGCGUGGGAACCUGCCCUUAGGUUCGGUAUAACUCCCCGAAAGGGGUGCUAAGACCGGAUAAUGUCUUCGGACCAAAGAUUUAUCGCCUUUGGAUGGGCCCGCGUUGGAUUAGUUAGUUGGUAGGGUAAAAGCAUACCAAGGCGACGAUCCAUAGCUGGUCGGAGAGCAUGAUCCGCCACACUGGGACUGCGACACGGCCCAGACUCGUACGGGAGGGAGCAGUAGAGAAUAUUGGAGAAUGGGCGCAAGCCCGAUCCAGCCGCGUCGGGGGAGUGAUGAAGGGCUUAGGGUUGUAAAGCUCUCUUACCCGGGACGAUAAUGACAGUACCGGGAGAAUAAGCUCCGGCUAACUACGUG